AUCUUAGUAAAAGACAAAAAUACUAGCAAAGAAAGGAAAGGGUAGGUAAUGAAAUAAACACUCCCAGAUAACUGUAGUCCACAUCCUCAAUAAAUUGGAGGGAUCCUAGAAAAAAAUUUCCAAGUAAAGGUCAGACACUAGUUAUAUUUUAGUAGAAAAGAACUCGUUGAUUAGAAUGAAAAGGUAAAGUUUAGCAAAAACUCGUUUUGAUCUAAAAUGGAAAGGCAUCUUAAGAAACUGUGUACUCUUGUUGAAAACACUAUCAGCCAUAAUGUAUCUGCACAAAAUAAAAGAAAAUUAAGGAAGCAAGAGAAUGGUCAGAAGCUGAAAUGGGAAAUAACAGAGAUAAAAAACAGUGCUAUCACUAUUGGUGAAGUUGAUUUGAAGCUGGUAGAAAGUAACAAGAAGACACUG